CUAGUAACGGCGAGUGAAGCGGCAACAGCUCAAAUUUGAAAUCUGGCCCCCGGGUCCGAGUUGUAAUUUGUAGAGGAUGCUUUUGGUGCGGUACCUUCCGAGUGCCCUGGAACGGGACGCCAUAGAGGGUGAGAGCCCCGUCUGGUUGGACGCCAAUCCUUUGUAAAGCUCCUUCAACGAGUCGAGUAGUUUGGGAAUGCUGCUCUAAAUGGGAGGUAUAUGUCUUCUAAAGCUAAAUAUUGGCCAGAGACCGAUAGCGCACAAGUAGAGUGAUCGAAAGAUGAAAAGCACUUUGAAAAGAGAGUUAAAAAGUACGUGAAAUUGUUGAAAGGGAAGCGCUCAUGACCAGACUUGGGCUUGGUUGAUCAUCCAGGGUUCUCCCUGGUGCACUCUUCCGGCCCAGGCCAGCAUCAGUUCGCUGUGGGGGAUAAAGGCUUCGGGAAUGUGGCUCCCUCGGGAGUGUUAUAGCCCGUCGUGUAAUACCCUGUGGUGGACUGAGGUUCGCGCAUUCGCAAGGAU
rnacentral:rRNA from 1 species